AAUAUGUAGACAAUUUUACUCUCAGCUUAAAACCAAGCCAGAAACAUGGCACAAUGCAUAGAAGGAAAUUUAGAAGAUUACAUGGAUUGGUGAGUAACAGUUAAAAAAAGAAAAACACCAA
rnacentral:lncRNA from 1 species